rnacentral:rRNA from 1 species
CGGAACAUGUCCUGGAGUGGGGGAUAGCUCGGCGAAAGCCGGAUUAAUACCGCAUACGCUCUGAGGAGGAAAGCGGGGGAUCCGCAAGGACCUCGCGCUGCGGGAGUGGCCGAUGUCGGAUUAGCUAGUUGGUGAGGUAAAGGCUCACCAAGGCGACGAUCCGUAGCUGGUCUGAGAGGAUGAUCAGCCACACUGGGACUGAGACACGGCCCAG